rnacentral:rRNA from 1 species
UACGGGGGGGGCAAGCGUUGUUCGGAAUUACUGGGCGUAAAGGGCUCGUAGGCGGCCAACUAAGUCAGACGUGAAAUCCCUCGGCUUAACCGGGGAACUGCGUCUGAUACUGGUUGGCUUGAAUCCGGGAGAGGGAUGUGGAAUUCCAGGUGUAGCGGUGAAAUGCGUAGAUAUCUGGAGGAACACCGGUGGCGAAGGCGGCAUCCUGGACCGGUAUUGACGCUGAGGAGCGAAAGCGUGGGUAGCAAACAGG